CAAGCGUUAAUCGGAAUUACUGGGCGUAAAGCGUGUGUAGGCGGGUUCGGAAAGAAAAGAUGUGAAAUCCCCAGGGCUCAACCCUUGGAACUCCAUCUUUUAACUGCCGAGCUAGAGUAUGUCUUGAGGGGGGGUAGAAUUCCACGUGUAGCAGUGAAAUGCGCAGAUAUGUGGAGGAAUACCGAUGGCGAAGGCAGCCCCCUGGGAUAAUACUGACGCUCAGACACGAAAGCGUGGGGAGCAACCAGGAUUAGAUACCCUGGUAGUCCACGCCCUAAACGAUGUCAACUAGCUGUUGGGGCCGUUAGGCCUUAGUAGCGCAGCUAACGCGUGAAGUUGACCGCCUGGGGAGUACGGUCGCAAGAUUAAAACUCAAAGGAAUUGACGGGGACCCGCCCAACCGGUGGAUGAUGUGGAUUAAUUCGAUGCAACCCGAAAAACCUUACCUACCCUUGACAUGUCUGGAAAGCCGAAGAGAUUUGGCCGUGCUCCCAAGAGAACCGGAACACAGGUGCUGCAUGGCUGUCGUCAGCUCGUGUCGUGAGAUGUUGGGUUAAGUCCCGCAACGAGCGCAACCCUUAUCAUUAGAUCCUACGCAAGAGCACUCUAAUGAGACUGCCGGUGACAAACCGGAGGAAGCUGGGGAUGACGUCAACUCCUCAUGGCCCUUAUGGGUAGGGCUUCUCACGUCAUACAAUGGUCGGGACAGAGGGUCGCCAACCCGCGAGGGGGAGCCAAUCUCAGAAACCCGAUCGUAGUCCGGAUCGCAGUCUGCAACU
rnacentral:rRNA from 1 species